AAAGUGUGCAGCUUAUGAUUCCUUUGCUGAAACUUGAAUGUACAGAUGGGGGUAUCACAACAUGCAUAUACUGAAGAUGGGAGUAUCACAACAUGCUUAUGUAGUUUCUGUAUUUUUGUUAAAGCAUAUACUCUAGGAGGAGGAGCACCAUCUCAGGUUUGUCACUUGCUCCUCCACUUCUCUUAUCUUCUUCUUCUCCAUCUCCCCAUCUAAUUCAUGCGUUUCUUUGUAGGUUGCUCCGAUCUGGUUGUGUGAAGGAACAUGCAAGGUCUGCUACUGCUGUUGUGCUCCCUUGAACGAUCUGGUGAAGGCCAAUUUGGUCCAUAGGUCCAAUUACUGUAGCCAGCUAUCACACUUGUAGAGCUUGUAAUAUGGUGAUUCCAAUUGUAUUACGUGUUAUUGGUAGAGCAAGAGCUCCAUACUGAUUCUGGCUGUUGUUAUUUGAAGUAUUACAUGUGUUUUCUGUCUGUUUGAAUUUAAAUAUUUGUUAUUUAUUCACUGGCACAUUGAAAUCUGAAGAACAUGACCUUGACAUGAGGGACCCACAAAACAGAACCUGACAUUUCGGACCCACUUACCUGAAUCUGAAAAAACAAGAAAACAAAGGCCAUGGCCCAAAAAU
rnacentral:lncRNA from 1 species